GGGAGAUAGUGGAGGACAGGGAGGCUUGGCUGCUUGGGAUCACAAAGAGCCGGACACGGCUUAGCACCUGAAGGCACAGACACACAUUUACAUCAAUGCUCCUCUCCUAACUCCUCCCUCCCUCUCCUUCGGAUUUUUAAGUGUACAUUUUCUGGUCAGUUCUCUAGUUCCUCAUAGUCUGUGUCAAAGGUUGGGUUCUCCAGAAGGUGAUGCCAAGAUGGAAUUUGGGGUGAACGAUGUCUAUUAGGGGUCCACCUCUUUGAAAGAGGCAGAGGCAGACUUGGGCAGAGGGAGAAGACAGGUGGGAUGUGGCUGGGCACAACCUCAGUCAAGCCCCCUGGGAGCUCUGGGUCACUUCAGCCACUGUGGGUCAUUGGAUGGGUGGCAUUCAGAUGUUGUCCAGCCAUGGAGGCUGGACAGAGGCAGCUGUCUUCAGCUGGCACUGCAGGGACCCAUGGCUGGAGGACUUGGCUGACCACACUAUCUUCAACUGGUCAGCAGGUCCUUCCUUGAAGGGCCAUCUGGGUGGUACAACACUGUCUGCCAUUGGCUAUUACUUAGAAUUACUUAGGAUUACUAAGAAUCCUUUUGAUUACAAAGAUUUAGCAAGUAAUUGCUUUUUCUUGUGAGCCUGCAAGGAACUGAUCAAGAGUCUUUAAGCAGUAACUUCAUUUAGAAACUGGAGCAUUUUGAUAAAUCUCAACAUUUGCUGGUCUCAACAACAGGCCAUCAUGUUCUAACCAUUGACAAAAGAAAUAUUUCUAAAAUUAACUUCAUCUUCUAAAGCUCCACAGCUACCUUUUAAAAGUUAAUGAAGAGGGUGAAAGAACUCAACUCUGACUUGGAAAAUGCAUGAAGCAAUUAUUUAUUUCUACCCACAGUAAUGAUGAAUUCUCUGAGUAAAGCCAGGGCCUCCCACCUUCAGCCGGGCAACCAGCAAACAGAGAGCAAGUCGAGUGUGGCCACAUCCAGCCAUGGUGUGCGCCUCUUCUUUCCUAACCUCAAACUCAGUGCAAGCGAGGUUGAAAAGUGCAGUCUUCUAGUGUGUCCAGAGAAAUAAAAUAAAAUGAAUAAGCGUUGAUCUCUCCAGUCUCCAAUGCGGAGGAUGAUACAGUCAUGGUUUGUGUGAGUUGGCUGGAGUAUGUGAACGUCCAAGGAUUGUGGCCCCUGAGCAGAAUGACAGAGAAACAUACAUCUCACCUUGAGCUGUACAAACCCUGGGGUCAGUGCCUGGUGAAGACGGAUGAGGACACAAACAGGGCCUCAUGCAAAGAAUGAAAACUCAGCAGAAAGCAGAAAGAGCUCAGAACCCUGUACUGUCAACCACUAGUCAUGACCAGUGACAAGGCAAUUUUUGCAAGGGUUCCUUUGCUUCUGAGCCAUAAAAUGAAUCUGUAAUGCUUCGCUCAUAGUACUUCUGGGAGCAUUAACUGUGUCUGUAACACUAAAGCACUUCAUACAGUACCCGACAGAGUGACUGGAUCGGGAACUAGGAAGAGAGUGUGUGGUAGAGUCUGAAUUCUGGGAGAAUGUGUAUCUUCCAUGAUUACUUAUGUCACAUGUGUUCAUGCUGACUGAUGCCUCUGCGUAUCCCUCCUCCCAGCCUGCCAGGAAACUCCAACUUAUCCUCAAAGACACACCUGGAAAUUUGCUUCCUCUGACCUAUGUCAGGACUUAAGGCUGCAUUCAUUUUUGUCAGCAUCCUCUUCUAUUUCCCCAGAGAACCAUCAGAAUUGCAGUGGGUUAGAAAUAACUAAAUACCUGCGUACCUGGGUUACAACCUUGCUUCUUGCUCUAUCAUCAGUGCCUGCCUCGUAGGAUCUGACACAGAAUGUGUGAAAGUGUUAGUCGCUUAGUCAUGUCU